rnacentral:rRNA from 1 species
UGCAGAAUCCCGUGAACCAUCGAGUCUUUGAACGCAAGUUGCGCCCGAAGCCAUUCGGCCGAGGGCACGCCUGCUUGGGCGUCACGC